ensembl:lncRNA
CACAGUUUUAGCUCAAGAAAAAAAAAUAUUUUGGUUCAUUUUUUUGCUUCUGCUGGUUGAUUCUUGGUCUAGGGACUUUUAAUAGUCCUUUAGAAGGCUGAGGGUUCAGAAACUCUACUCCAGAAGGUUGUGGGGAACUGCCAUCACUUUUCCAUGUUGUUCCCUUUUUCUGUGGCUAUGUGUGUGUAACUGCAACAUUUUUCUGCUGCCACUUCUCCAUGGCUGGGUUAGAUCAUUUAGGGUCCAGGAACACUUGCUAUUUCCCCAUUAUCCCUUCAUUCCCUUGGCUGAGAGGUUCUAAUUGUUGCCUCUUCAUUGCUGUCAUGUAGGGAGCUGGUUGCUCUCUAAAGACCUGUGUUGAUGUGGAGUCUUCAAAUAUCUUGCCUCCUUUUCCCUAACUCCACUGUUCCCAGUAGUCAGUCUGCUCUCAUUGACUAAGUAUCUCCCAAGUCAACAACCAUUUGAGUCAUAAAAAUCCAGUGGCCAGACAAAAUUCCAGACAACUGAUGAUGACUUGGGAUGCGGUGGAUGACCUUGGCUUUUCAGUAUCAAAUCAAGUUCUAAACACUCCACAGUGUCUGCGUCAUACUGCUUUCAGAGCCCCUGGAAGAAAUUGUUUGCAUCCACCCCUUCUGCUGGGUUCUUUAUCAAGUUAUAAAUGGGAAGUCAAAGGAAAAGGAGGGAUUGAAUCUCAACUCUCAUACCCACAUAUGUUUCCUUCAUGUUUCGUGUGAGUAUUAUAUACAACUUAAUUAAAAAUUCUAUCAUAAGCUAAAGAUUCUCAGGCCACCUGAGAGCCAUAUUUCAUAUGUAUGAAAUCAUAGCUGUGAAAUGGAACAUUUUUCCCCAAUGUGGGAAAGACCCAGAACAGCUGUUAUAGUGUUUGUAACAAUCUUGUUGGAGAAAGCAAACAACUCAAUUGAUGUCAUAAUGUUACCUCCCAAGAAUCCGCUUUGUGUUACCAACUUGUAGGGAACUGCUAGUUCAGAAAACGUCUUAGGUAAUAUGUUUUCCUUCUUUUCUCUUGUAUUUUUUUUUUGUUUCCUUGUGCCUCAGAAUCUUAUUUAAAAACAAAACAAACAAAACAAUACUCAAACCUCAGAGGAGGCAAAGGAAGGUAGUAUAUAUGAUUUUAGUGAAAAUUGAAUCUAGGAAUCAAUCAAUUAGGUCAUGAACAUUUCUUGAUAAAUUCUUGUCAUAGUCUUCAAGUAUGUGAAAUAUAAAGUGUAUGUCAGUGUCAUCAAUCCCAUUUUCCUCCUCUUCCACCCUCCUAGAAUUUAUUGAUUCUUUGUUAGGAGAAUCCAUUGGGUAGAUGGAAUAAUUUAAGAAAAGACAAAUUAGCUCCCUUUCUACAAAGUACAAUUGGGAAAAGAGAAAGAUAUUAUAAAUGACUCAUAAUUUAAAAAAGCAAGUUACCUUGAAUAUUCUGAUUAAGAUAAACACCUUUGGAGGGAAAACAUGUCAUAACUUUAAUACUAGAUAAUUUUGGACCAUUACCAUUUCUUUUCCCCUGUUCAAAAGUCCUUCCUUGCCAUGCAAAAGAAUAGGUUCCACUUAUUUAAUUGGGCAGAAAUAAACCAGAACUUCAUAGUUCUUUAGUUCCUAAG